AUAUAUAUAUAUAUUUAAUUGUGUAACCAUUAAGUGGAACGAAUGUAAUAUUUGCAAUCGAUUUAGCCGUCUAGAUGUACACUAGAUGGAGGUGGGUUUGGGAAAAGUGUACCACGUUCAUUGAUAUCCGUUUUUCUAACGAUGUGAGAUUGUUGUUGCAUGUGAUAAGUCAGUAGAGAUGAUCAGAAUACAAACACCACACACUCUCUCUUUCUCUCUCGAGCAAUUACUAAUGGGAUCUUCGUUGGAAAAAAAAAUUGUUGCUCUAAUUAUUGGUCUUUUCUCCGACAGGCUUCAGGACCAGAGACGCGAAGACUUGCCAUGUCUGUCUGAAGACCUUCUCUUCACGUUUCUAUUUAAGGGCACAUUCCCGCAUCCAUCAGCCAAACGCACCCCGUUUCUCUUGUGAUCUCUGUGGUUACGUGUCUCUGUGGAAAGGCGACGUCAUGAGACAUCAAAGGGCCGUACACAAAGUGCGACAGUUGGAAGCGGAUUGACUUCGCCUUUUUUUCAGUUGACAACUCGUCGCCAUUGCCUAAAACUGUGCUCGAAAUCAGACGAAUAUCCAAAAAUCCAAAAUGUGGAGGAAGAUGGCUCACAAAAUUCUAUUCAAUGUAAUUAACGCGAACUUGUUUUUUUAAUCAUCUCACAUUUUAUCCAUCUUGUAAAAUAAUUUACUGUUGUUUUCAUUCAUCUAUCAUCGAAUUUUAGAGUUAUAAUAGAACUAUUAGAUAUAAUUGAUUAGAUUAUAUUCCUGUUUAUCUUCGAGUUGCAACUGGAAAAGUUGAAUUUUCAAGUUGUCAAAAUCAUUGACUUCCUAAAUAAAUAAAAAAAAAUCAACAAGACCUCGCCUCUUAUCAGAAGUGAUUGUUAUAUUGAAAUUAUGUAUUUAAUGUAGAAUAAUAUCUGUAAUUAUAGGUUAUUAUCUAUAAAAAAAAACCAACUCUUUGUAUGUGUUGCAUUGUUUUGGUUUGAUAAAUCAAACGAAUAAGAAUAAAAAUAAAAAUGAAAAUUGUUAUUAAUUAUAAAAAUAUUUAAGAAAAUUUAUUGUUGCUGAUUGUUUUAACAAUUUACAUUAAUUAUAGAACAGAAGAAAAUAUUUAUCAGGAUGUGGCAUGUUAUAUGCAUAACAUAUUAUUGCAUUUUAGUCCUUUUUUUUAAAUAAAAAACAAAAGCAAUAAAUAAUUCGAGUGUAUGAAAUUUAAAAUAUAUCUUUAGAAUUAAUAUAUCCUGUUAUAUUGUGUGGAAAUCUGCGAAUGUAAGAAUAGAAAUGAAACAAAAAUAAAUAUUUGAUUUUUCUCCAAGAUAUUUAUAGGAUUAGGAGGAACAGAGAGAAAUUGACCAGAACUUGUCAACUGUGUUCCAGAACCUUUACCAGAGCGGCCGAUCUAAGACGUCAUUAUUUAUUGCACCGACCCGAUGCACCGAGGUACAGAUGCGAUAUUUGUGGUACAGAAAGCAUCUGGAAGCACGUCAUCGAGCAACACAGGAGAAGAAUCCAUGGCAUGCCUCCGACACCCCGUUUGGAUAAAUCCUGAGGAAUGUGUCCAUUGGUUCGAAGACUGAUUUCUCUUUCAUUUAAAUUUUACUACCUUAAAAAAUAAUACUUUUUUAAUCAUCACAAUUUUUAAUAUUUUAUAAAAUAGAAUUUAUUGUAUUUUUAUUUAUAUUAAAUAUUUCCGGAUAUCAAAAACAAAAAAAAAUGAACGUUGGUGUAGAUUACAAAAUGAACUGAAUUGAAGCACUGUGAUAGAAUGCUGUAGCAAUUUCAUUAUUAUUAUUUUAUGAUUAAGCACGUUUGUAUCGACAGCCAAGCUGGAUAAAUUGUUCACAAUAAAUGCGAAAUAAUAAUCACUUGGGAUGGAAGAAUAAUGAAUAAACAGAAGCACUUUGUUCUUUGGUAAACGAUUUGAGUGACUGCACCAACUUGCAUUCUCUGCCGCAGAAUAUUUAGCUGCGUUGGAAAUUUGACUCGUCACAUGAAAUUGCACCAACCAAAUGCUACUAAAUAUCGUUGUGGAAUAUGUGGCUACCAAUCAGUUUGGAAGAAUGCCGUUCUACGUCACAGAAGAAAUCGUCAUCAUCCCAAGGAUCACCAAUGACAACAUUUGUAACUUCUUUUAAAUGCAUUAAUAUAUACGUGAAAAGGAAGACGUUAUUAAGAGUUUUAAACGAAAAAUUGUUUAUUUUUAAAUGAUAAUAAUAAUAAUAACUUUAUUUUCGAUUUGCAAAAAGAUAAU